rnacentral:rRNA from 1 species
AGCGAACGCUGGCGGCAGGCCUAACACAUGCAAGUCGAACGAAGCCUUCGGGCUUAGUGGCGGACGGGUGAGUAACACGUGGGAACGUACCUUUUGGUUCGGAAUAACGCAGGGAAAUUUGCGCUAAUACCGAAUGAGCCCUUAGGGGGAAAGAUUUAUCGCCGAAAGAUCGGCCCGCGUUGGAUUAGGUAGUUGGUGUGGUAAAGGCGCACCAAGCCUACGAUCCAUAGCUGGUCUGAGAGGAUGAUCAGCCACACUGGGACUGAGACACGGCCCAGACUCCUACGGGAGGCAGCAGUGGGGAAUCUUGCGCAAUGGGCGAAAGCCUGACGCAGCCAUGCCGCGUGAAUGAUGAAGGUCUUAGGAUUGUAAAAUUCUUUUACCAGGGACGAUAAUGACGGUACCUGGAGAAAAAGCCCCGGCUAACUUCGUGCCAGCAGCCGCCGUAAGAC